rnacentral:SRP_RNA from 1 species
GCUGGGCAUGGUGGCGCAUGCCUGUAAUCCCAGCUACUCGGGAGGCUGAGGCAGGAGAAUCGCUUGAACCCAGGAGGCGGAGGUUGCGGUGAGCCGAGAUCGCGCCAUUGCACUCCAACCUGGGUAAGAAGAGAGAACCUCUGUCUCAAAAAAAAAAAAAAAACAGAGGUUUGGUCUUGUUGCCCAGGCUGGAGUGCAAUGGCGCAAUCUCGGCUCACCGCAACCUCCGCCUCUGGGUUCAAGGGAUUCUCCUGCCUCAG